AGUGAGGACGACACCAACGGCCUUCCGGGCCAGUGUUGGAUCCCUGUAAUUUGUGAAGAUGGUGUUGCUAACAAUGAUCGCCCGAGUGGCGGACGGGCUCCCGCUGGCCGCCUCGAUGCAGGAGGAUGAACAGUCUGCCCGGGACCUUCAACAGUAUCAGAGUCAGGCUAAGCAACUCUUUCGGAAGUUGAAUGAACAGUCCCCUACCAGAUGUACCUUGGAAGCAGGAGCCAUGACUUUUCACUACAUUAUUGAGCAGGGGGUGUGUUACUUGGUUUUAUGUGAAGCUGCCUUCCCUAAGAAGUUGGCUUUUGCCUACUUAGAAGAUUUGCACUCAGAAUUUGAUGAACAGCAUGGGAAGAAGGUGCCCACUGUGUCCCGACCCUAUUCCUUUAUUGAAUUUGAUACCUUCAUUCAAAAAACCAAGAAGCUCUACAUUGACAGUCGUGCUCGAAGAAACCUAGGCUCCAUCAACACUGAAUUGCAAGAUGUGCAGAGGAUCACGGUGGCCAAUAUUGAAGAAGUGUUACAACGAGGAGAAGCACUCUCAGCAUUGGAUUCAAAGGCUAACAAUUUGUCCAGUCUGUCCAAGAAAUACCGCCAGGAUGCGAAGUACUUGAACAUGCGUUCCACUUAUGCCAAACUUGCAGCAGUAGCUGUAUUUUUCAUCAUGUUAAUAGUGUAUGUCCGAUUCUGGUGGCUGUGAAAUAAUGAAUACAGUCACUGGUAAGGGAGAACCUAGAACCCAGUAGGUGUAUAUUUUCAGGAAACUGAGCUCACAGAGAUGUGUAUUAGAAUCCAAGUGGAACUUCUGCCUCUAAAGACCUUGAAAGAAAUGAGAUGUCCUGAAAAUGAAAGGUUACACCUCAUUUAAUGAAGCUUAACCCUAUGUAGAAAGUCUGUUUCAGGAGCAGAGGCUUUCUCUGGGAGCUAAGCCAUAUAUGUUAGGGAACAGUAGAUUGUUAUUUCGUUUUUUUCCCUUCCAGUGCAUUUUAAAAACAGCACUGACUGGGGCAUUCUCAUUCUCUAAUGGAGCCAUCAAUGAGAUUUAGUCAACCUGUGCUAGCAACGUUCUGAAAUUCCUUCAAAGAAGACAGUCCUUUGGGAAGGUUUUUUUUUUUUUUUUUUUUUUGACGCUAAUCAACAUUCCUUUUGUUGGUGACAUUUGUGAUUUUCAAUAAUCUGAGUUUUUGAUGGCCUUUUAAACAAGACUCCAGUAUGUGAAGGUUAAUUGCUGUGCUCCACAGAUCUUGUCUAUUGGCCCCUGUAGAAAGUUAACCUUUGUUGUUUUCCUUUUAUAAUUUGCUUAUUGCACAAUUGCUUUAGGGUUAAGUGAAUUAUAUUAAGAUACCUUGAAAUUAUAGCACUCUUCGAUUAAGAAGCUACAAUGUUUCUCUCAUUUACUCCUUAAACAAAAUAC